rnacentral:misc_RNA from 1 species
GCCAGCAAUAAUUCUUAUUGUGGUAAAAUUAGGCAAUCAACUACGAUAGCCCCUACUACUAAUGAACACCAAUGAGGAUGUCAAGUUUGCUUUGACUUCGUCAUGAACUUCUAAAAUUUUUUGAUAGUGGUCCUGGAACUUUCAAGGUUUAUUCUAGAAGAAGCAAGGGGAUGGAGGGAGCUAGCAGUGCAUUACUAGAAAAAGAAGAAUGGCAUGUGGCUGUUAGAGCUAGCAAAGGAGAGAUUGACAUGUGGAUAGAAUUUGUUACACGGG